rnacentral:rRNA from 1 species
UCGGGAAUUUUGGGCAAUGGGCGAAAGCCUGACCCAGCAACGCCGCGUGAAGGAUGAAAUCCCUCGGGAUGUAAACUUCGCAAGAACGGGAAGAAUAAGUUUGUGCUAAUACCACAAGCGAUGACGGUACUGUUUGUAAGCUCCGGCUAACUCCGUG